GCAGUUUGGGGGGGGGGAGAUAAGGACCGGCCCCCAGGGCCGUGGGUGCAGUUUGCGGGGGCUGUACAUCAUCACGAUCCCUGCCUACGACAUAAACUUUAUGCUGCGUAUCAAGUCACGUGAGCACCGAAACUUGAUCUUUCUGAGAGCUUCUUGUAUGCAGCCAGCUAAAUAACAAAGGCUUGUGUCAUAAAAGGAUGAAUAAGAUUAUUCUGGUAGCGUACAUGCCGAAGGAUGUGUCCCAUGAUUGCAACUCUGGGCUGCAGUCAAUUGUUGGUAAACUAUCCUGUGAAGAAUUUACAGGAUUGAGAGACAAGGGUCCUGGCUUUCAGAAGAACUACUACCUGUGGAAGUAUACUAUUUGUUAUUGGGUAAGUAUUUCCCAGAGCCCCAUGUCAAAGGAGUCACCACUCUGGGUCUGCCUGUGCUUUCUGAGUCAGAAAUUGCAUAGAGAUAUUCUGUGUAAAGAACCAUGAGGGAAUUGAGGUUUAUUUGAUUUUUUAUUAUUCUUAUUACUAUUACCACUCAUACUUUACACUAUGGUCCUCUGUAAUAUCAUGCUUAAAUCAGUUACACAAGGUAGUUACCAAUUCUGAAUAAUAAUUUGUAUUAAACUUGCUGGAAGAUAUUGCUAUGUCUUUGUUUGUUGGAGUCUGCAAAUAGGAAAUAAUUAUUCCUUAGUUGUCUUUUAUCAAUACCUUGCUCCAGAUACUACUUAGAAAAUCUUUAGGCUGAGGUGGAGCUUGGGGACUGUCAUACGGCAACUCUGGAGACAGUGUUGGACAACAUGAGGGGCAUCUGUAGAAUCUGCACUCAACAAUUACAACUCUGUGAAACUCUUAAAUAAAACUAUUUCACAACAUGAUUGUGGAACA
rnacentral:lncRNA from 1 species